CUGGGAGCCUCCCAGCCGCGAUCCUCCGGGGCGGGACUUCCGGCUUCCCUGCUCCCACAAAAUGACGCCAAAUUCCAGCGAAACAGCUGAUGCCAGCCAGCUUGAAGACCCCUGCCACAGAAGAAGGGAAUCAGCAUGAGAAUACAGCUUCUUCAUCUCGCUGUCCCAUGACUUCGCCCUGUACUCUUCAGCCAAUUAAUGAUCUCCACACUUGGGACCACUCUAAAACCCUUAAGAACCUGAGACUCAAAGUCCUCCUGGAGACGAAUUUGAGGUUUCCUCCUAUCUGUGUUUGGUGGCCCUAUGAUUAAACCUCUUUCUCUUCUGCAACCUGGUGUCCCAGUGUAUUAACUUGCCAUGGGCAUCAGACAACAAACCUAUAUAUAGUAUCCCAAAUAUGGUGCUCCACUUUGAAACCUGAAGAAAUCCUGCAAUUGAGUUAGCCUUUUGAAAUAAAAAUUAUUUCAAAUUUUAAAAUAUUUAUAUAUGUUUCCACUUAAGAUAUCUACAAGCAUUUGUUUACAACCUUUUAUCUUGCUUUGCAUCUUAAACAUUUCUGUAUGGCAAUUUCCGUGUCUUCCUAUCAUCUCGGCCAUCUUAGUGCAAAGAUACAAAAUUGUGUGGCUUAUUAAGAAAAAUUACAGUAAGCUAAGGGUAGGUUAAAGGAUCUGAAACUUAGCAGGAAAAAUGAGCAGAAAUUAAAGCUAUAAAAGGCAUGGAUCCUGCUCCAGUUCUCUUUGCUUCUCCUUUGUUCUCUGUCUUCCUCACUUUUAACUGCCUUCUUUGUUUCCCUUGAACCUGACUACUUAAAAAAAAAAUUGAAGAUCUAAAUUAUCUCAAGGCUAAAAGGAUUUUUGUUUAGGAAGUAUGAAGAUUAAUUCAAUUAAAUAAAUACUUAUUGAGCAUUGACUAUCAGGGGAAUACUGGAAGAUAGGCCUGCAGAGGAACAUGUCAGAAUGAUCACACUAUUUGUGGGUGUGUAAUCUGGAAGCUGUACCAUGAUUAGUUGAAAGAGAGACUGAAGGCAAGAAAAACAGUGUGGUGACUUGGAGAAGAACCAAGACAUAAGGAAAUGAAGACCUACUCUUGGGUGAUGACAGUAAAAAUAAUGGAAUAGGCCUGAGAGACAGGAAAAGGGAGAACUGAUGAGACUCAGUUACUGAUAGGGCUAAAGAGGAGGAAGGACAGGGCAAGGUGGCUCACGCCUGUAAUCCCAGCACUUUGGGAGGCAAGGCAGGAAGAUCACUUGAGCCCAGGAAUUCAAGACCAGCCUGAGCAACAUGACAAAACCCCAUCUCUACAAAAAAUACAAAAAUUAGGCUGGGCGCAGUGGCCCAGGCCUGUAAUCCCAGCACUUUGGGAGGCCGAGGUGGGUG
rnacentral:lncRNA from 1 species